CUUUUAUAAUGUAUGCCAGUCCAUCAAUGGACAAAUUGAAGACUAAGAACCCACAAUAGAAUCCCAAGAGAACUCCACUUACCACUUUUGUCUAAUAAUUUUCCAAAAAUAAUAAUUCUCAGCAUUCUACCUUUUGGUUUUCUGUCCAAGUAUACAUCAUCCACUGCAGUAACUUGAGACUACCUUACUCACGUCUUUAUAGAAUGCCGUUAAAAACUUCGACAUUGUUUGUCCUUUAUAAG